rnacentral:rRNA from 1 species
AUUGAACGCUGGCGGCAGGCCUAACACAUGCAAGUCGAACGAGUGGCGGACGGGUGAGUAAUGUGUGGGAAUCUGGCCUAUGGAGGGGGAUAAAUCGUGGAAACUGUAGCUAAUACCGCAUACCAUAGUAUGAACCCAUUUGGGAUUAGGUAGUUGGUGAGGUAAAGGCUAACCAAGGCGACGACCUCUAGCUGGUCUGAGAGGAUGACCAGCCACACUGGGACUGAGACACGGCCCAGACUCCUACGUGAGGCAGCAGUGGGGAAUAUUGCACAAGGGGGGCAACCCUGAUGCAGCCAUGCCGCGUGUAUGAAGAAGGCCUUAGGGUUGUAAAGUACUUUCGGUAGCGAGGCGUUACCUACAGAAGAAGCACCGGCUAACUCCGUGCCAGCAGCCGCGGUAAUUC